GAUGAACGCUAGCUACAGGCUUAACACAUGCAAGUCGAGGGGAAACGAUAUUGGAAGCUUGCUUCCGAUAGGCGUCGACCGGCGCACGGGUGAGUAACGCGUAUCCAACCUGCCCAUCACUUGGGGAUAACCUUGCGAAAGUAAGACUAAUACCCAAUGACGUCUCUAGAAGACAUCUGAAGGAGAUUAAAGAUUUAUCGGUGAUGGAUGGGGAUGCGUCUGAUUAGCUUGUUGGCGGGGUAACGGCCCACCAAGGCGACGAUCAGUAGGGGUUCUGAGAGGAAGGUCCCCCACAUUGGAACUGAGACACGGUCCAAACUCCUACGGGAGGCAGCAGUGAGGAAUAUUGGUCAAUGGACGAGAGUCUGAACCAGCCAAGUAGCGUGCAGGAUGACGGCCCUAUGGGUUGUAAACUGCUUUUAUAAGGGAAUAAAGUGAGUCUCGUGAGGCUUUUUGCAUGUACCUUAUGAAUAAGGACCGGCUAAUUCCGUGCCAGCAGCCG
rnacentral:rRNA from 1 species